rnacentral:rRNA from 1 species
GAUGAACGCUAGCGGCAGGCUUAACACAUGCAAGUCGAGGGGCAGCAUGACGGAACUUUCGGGUUUUGUUGAUGGCGACCGGCGCAAGGGUGCGUAACGCGUGAGCAACUUGCCCGUUUCUGGGGAAUAACCGGUGGAAACGCCGACUAAUACUCCAUGGUACAUUUGUGAGGCAUCUUACAGAUGUUAAAGAUUUAUCGGAAACGGAUAGGCUCGCGUGACAUUAGCUAGAUGGCGGGGUAACGGCCCACCAUGGCGACGAUGUCUAGGGGUUCUGAGAGGAAGGUCCCCCACACUGGAACUGAGACACGGUCCAG